rnacentral:lncRNA from 1 species
UAAUAUAAUAAUAUUAGGAAUAAUUCGUUUGAUCUCUCCCCCUUUGCAGUUUUACAAAAGGGGGAAGUGGAUCCCAAGAACUUGAGUCAUGCCCAAGGUCCCAUGAGGAGUGAGUGAUAGAGCUGAGCUUUGCACCUACAGCCUUGAACCCAGGAUCCUUCCACACCAGACCUUCUCUUCUUGGCUCUCCCAUAAUAAAACCUCCCAAUGUGAGGGACCCAUCUUCUCCUUUUGCACGUAAAAUCCACGGGCUCAUAGCUGGUCUUCACACUACUUGGUUUCUCUUUUCUGGUAGCUCUGUGGUACAUGGAUGGGGCUCUCUGGGUUGAGAUGAAGCCAUCAUCCUUCAAUCAAGGCAUUGAGUCAGAUACCUAAAAGAUGGCAGCAAAACUGGCAAAUGGGGUAGGAGAGCAGGUAGCCGUGGCUGCAGCAAGCUUGUCUUCUGGGAACUACUCUGUCUCCCCCCCCCCCCCCCCUAUGCUGCAGGAAGGCCAGGGGAUUCCUGCCUCCCAGGGCGUUACUGUCGCGCAGCUCAAAGUGGGUUCUGAGGGCACUGGACUGAGGCCCACUGUUCCCGGGAGAGGGAAAGGAGAAACGGAUGAGCCUCUUCCCAGGGGCCAGCAGCUUCGUGGGGGCGCCUCCUCUUCCCGUCCUGGGAGCCUGCUGUGUGAACGCAGCUGCACUCCAGGGAAAGGAGAGGAAAGAGAUUCCGAGAGGGUAAGCCACUUGCCGGUCAAACACACAAGAUUUGCCUGUUCUGGAAGUCGGUGAUGGCUGAACCUAGGACUUCUUCCAAUGCCAUGCCCAUUACUGCCUUGUGGAGGUCGCCUCAUCUCUUCUUUGUUCUUAUACGGGAGGUCCAGAAUUCUCAGUCAAGCCCCAGGUAUCCCAUAGACCCAAUACCCAUGGAUUUGAGUCCCAAGAACCAUGCAGCUGGGUUGGAAAGAAAAAUCACAAUGGGUGCGAUGAUUGGUGCAAUCAAGAGAGAGGCACACCGCUGAUACCAGGUGCCAAAGGAAGCCCA